rnacentral:rRNA from 1 species
UACGUAGGGACCAAGCGUUGUUCGGAUUCAUUGGGCGUAAAGGGCGCGUAGGCUGCGGGGCAAGUCGGGUGUGAAAUCUCAGAGCUCAACUCUGAAACUGCACUCGAUACUGCUUUGCUCGAGGACUGGAGAGGAGAUUGGAAAUUCACGGUGUAGCAGUGAAAUGCGUAGAUAUCGUGAGGAAGACCAGUGGCGAAGGCGGAUCUCUGGACAGUUCCUGACGGCUGA